UGUUUUGUUGCUUAGUUGGUAUAGCGCUGGUCCAGCGAAUACGGAGUCGUGGGUUCGAAUCCCAUCAGAACGC
rnacentral:tRNA from 1 species